AAUCUUGCACAAUGGACGAAAGGCUGAUGGAGCAACGCCGCGUGAGCGAAGAAGGUUUNCGGAUCNGNAAGCUCUGUUGCGAGGGNCGAACAAGUACGGGAGUAACUGCCCGUACCUUGACGGUACCUCGUCAGAAAGCCACGGCCAACUACGUGCCAGCAGCGGCGGUAAUACGUAGGUGGCAAGCGUUGUCCGGAAUUAUUGGGCGUAAAGCGCGCGACGUCGGUCCUUUAAGUCUGAUGUGAAAGCCCACGGCUCAACCGUGGAGGGUCAUUGGAAACUGGAGGACUUGAGUACAGAAGAGGAAAGCGGAAUUCCACGUGUAGCGGUGAAAUGCGUAGAGAUGUGGGGGAACACCAGUGGCGAAGGCGGCUUUCUGGUCUGUAACUGACGCUGAGGCGCGAAAGCGUGGGGAGCAAACA
rnacentral:rRNA from 1 species